rnacentral:lncRNA from 1 species
UUGUGAGGACCAUUGAAAAAUUCAUCUAAGUGUAUGGUGGCUCCUUUAUAAUUAUUUUUUCUGUAACCUAUUUCUAUCUGUAAAAACUGAAGUGUCCAUCAUUACAUUGAGAAAGGACAAGCAGCAUCCAAUUUUAAAUUUUCAUUUCUAUUUUUGAACAGCAAACAAAGAAUGCGUUUUCUCUGUCAAAUUUCCUAUGCAGAAGGUAUCCUCUCCCCUUAAUGUGGCGCAGAAAUAAUCUUAAGAUAAGUUAUUAAAAAAAAAAAUAUUUAAAAAUAAAAAUACGCUAAUCAAAAUCUUUAAAUACUACUUCUUAGGGGAGAAUAGAAGAAACAAAAGAAAGCGAUUCUUUUAAACAUUUGUGCUGUUAUGUAACUGCAUGACAUUAUCUUUUCAAAGAGUUAUUUUACUUCCAUUUUUCAACUCUAAAUAAUAAACCUCAAUUCUCAGUAUUCUGUGCAAGUUUUUCAGGGAAAAAUUGUUUUCAACCUGAUCCGGAGGACAAAAAAAAAGUUGAGAUGUUGAUGGUUUAUUGCUGUUUUAUCGCCAACAUAUUCCAAUUUCAUUGCAAUUGGAUUGGCAAUAAAAUGGACAAAUAAUUGGUCGACCGAUGAUUCCCGGAUUGGUCGAUUAUUGGCAAUAAAUGACCAAUAAAUGACCAAUCGAAGGAAAUAAAAUUGGAAUAAAAUUGGAAAUAAAUGACCAAUAUAUUGGCAAUCAUCUUUCAAAUUUUGCUACAUGGGAGAUCCAAUAAGUAUCAGUUGCGACUUAAAAUAAUUCACAGAAGUGACAAUAGCCUAGAUGUCAGUAUAGUCUAGUGACAAUUUAUUGUCAGUAUGAGAAAGUCUAUUCCUUUGAUUUUUGUUUCAGUAUUUUGGUGGAUUUGUUACAAAAGCUCAUAUCUCAAACUUCGAGUCAUUUCAUGGCACUCCAAAACCUGACUUUAAAUUUAAAAACAUAUCAAAAUGGUGCCAGAGCCACUGGAUAUCUCCGAGCAUGAGUUGCUCUUCAAAGCAACCAAUUUAUGCAAACUGGCCUCCAUAGAUUUGUCUCAGUACCUGGAGGCAUACAUGAGAAAUAUUAGAAAUCUCUACAAUAACUCCUGA